GACGAACGCUGGCGGCGUGCCUAAUACAUGCAAGUUGAGCGCUGAAGGUUGGUACUUGUACCAACUGGAUGAGCAGCGAACGGGUGAGUAACGCGUGGGGAAUCUGCCUUUGAGCGGGGGACAACAUUUGGAAACGAAUGCUAAUACCGCAUAAAAACUUUAAACACAAGUUUUAAGUUUGAAAGAUGCAAUUGCAUCACUCAAAGAUGAUCCCGCGUUGUAUUAGCUAGUUGGUGAGGUAAAGGCUCACCAAGGCGAUGAUACAUAGCCGACCUGAGAGGGUGAUCGGCCACAUUGGGACUGAGACACGGCCCAAACUCCUACGGGAGGCAGCAGGAGGGAAUCUUCGGCAAUGGACGAAAGUCUGAACGAGCAACGCCGCGUGAGGGAAGAAGGUUUUCGGAUCGUAAAAAUCUGUUGGUAGAGAAGAACGUUGGUGAGAGUGGAAAGCUCAUAAAGUGACGGUAACUACCCAGAAAGGGACGGCUAACUACGUG
rnacentral:rRNA from 1 species